rnacentral:rRNA from 1 species
AUGGUGAGCUGGCCUGACAUCAGCAAACCCAAAGACCAGGGUGGCCUUGGGAUCCUAUCCUCCAGGCGGAUGAACAUCGCUCUCCUGGCGCGUUGGCUUUGGCGGAUUGCCAAUGGGGAAGGGGGGCUUUGGCUUACCAUCAUCCGCAAUAAAUACCUCCGCGGACAGCCUUUUGCCUUCUGUCAGCGCUCCGGUGGAUCCCAGUUUUGGCAGGCUGUGAUCCAGCUCGGCAGCUCCUUCCUGUUCUCCGUAUUGGUACCUCCAUUGAGCUUUGGCGGCCGCUUAGCCGGCCCCAGGACCGGGACGCCAUCGACACCCUCCUCGCCGACCUCCGCGCGAUGGCCUUCCGAGUGGCGCCUCCUCUCCCGCCCCCACCCCCGGAGCCCGACUAGGCUUGCGCCUUCUCCCUGA